rnacentral:rRNA from 1 species
AUUGAACGCUGGCGGCAGGCUUAACACAUGCAAGUCGAGCGAGUGGCGGACGGGUGAGUAAUGUCUGGGAAACUGCCUGAUGGAGGGGGAUAACUACUGGAAACGGUAGCUAAUACCGCAUACCAUCGGAUGUGCCCAGAUGGGAUUAGCUAGUUGGUGGGGUAAUGGCUCACCUAGGCGACGGUCCCUAGCUGGUCUGAGAGGAUGACCAGCCAGACUGGACCUGAGACACGUGCCAGACUCCUACGGGAGGCAGCAGUGGGGAAUAUGGCACAAUGGGCGCAAGCCUGAUGCAGCCAUGCCGCGUGUAUGAAGAAGGCCUUCGGGUUGUAAAGUACUUUCAGCGGGGAGGCGUUACCCGCAGAAGAAGCACCGGCUAACUCCGUGCCAGCCGCCGCGGUAAUAC